UUGAAAGGGAAACGAUUGAAGUCAGUCGUACCGACGAGAAAUCAGCUUUUCGAAUGUGCAUUUGUGGGCGUAUGAGAUCUUCAUUGUUUGCAAUAUGUAUGUUUCUUUGGUGUACUUUUUCGUAUGGUAGGUCAAUGUCGGUUUUGAUCGCCAUAAAAUGAUCGGAGGAAUGUAGCUUCGGCUUCGGUUGAAGUGUUAUAGCCUUUGGUAAAUGUGGUGAUUAAGACCGAGGAUUGCAACGAAUACCUUUUAGGCUAUCCGUCUGACCUCUGAAAGUUGCUUGGGUGCCGAAAGCUUGUUUACGGUCAUUUAAGUUGACGGUCAAUAGGUUAGAACGUGAUUACAUUCGUUAAGGAUGUUGACGUA
rnacentral:rRNA from 1 species